UCAACUUAUGGAGGCUAUUCUUCUGAGCAAAGAUAUCAAAAUACAAUUGCCAUCAGAGUCCAGCUAUGAAAAUCCAUUUUUGAUGAUGGUUUGGACAAAGAAUUUUGCUAGGGACGAGGAAAGGGCAAAAAUAAAUUUUGUGAUCUAGUGCCUUGCGAUGUCAUCACAGGAAUUGCUUUGAAAAAUUUGCCGCAUGAGACAUAGUUUACUGUUUCAGAGGCUGCAAAAAGCUGGCUGCGACGUGCCAAUAAAUAUUAUACAAGGAGAGAAAAUCAACCAUGAACUAGGAUUGAAUGCCGAAUUAAUUAUAU